GGCGGAUGAGCCAAAAGGAAACCGGUUCUUCG
rnacentral:tRNA from 1 species